CAGAUUUCAACCCUGAGCAAGCCGGAUCUUGUCUGGUCUUGGAAGCUAAGCCGGGUCAGGCCUGGUUAGUACUUGGAUGGGAGACCACCUAGGAAGACCGGGUGCUGU
rnacentral:rRNA from 1 species